ensembl:ncRNA C26B2.11 ncRNA
CGUAAAGUCAAAAUAAAAGAGUGUCCAGUUCUGAAAUGGAAUUUCAACUGAACACCUUGUCUGCGUCUCUCAAUUUUCAACAGUCUAUACAAAUGGUCACCAAGUGGCUGUAACUCGACACCG